UGGGUAAACUUUGUGGUCCUUUCUUGCAGGCUUUGCUGUAGCCCAGUGUAUAAAUCAGCACCAUCCAUCACCACUCUCUUCUCCGUCGCCGUCCAGUGGCAGUGGGAGUACAGGGCGGUGUGAUUCAGUGGCUGCAAGCUCAGCUUCCACUCCUUCUGUUGCACAGAGUCCAUCAGAUGACUCUUCAGCUCCCGAGCAGCCCCGCACGACCGUUUCUGGUCAGAUGACGUUGACUGAUGAAACUCUUUCCGCUGUCUCAAAGUCUAGCAAGAGUGCUGUAAAAAACAGUGACAUAGAAACAGCAAACCUGUCCCCUAGCCUGAUUCCUGCACAGCAGCCCACAAUAUCAUUAAUAUCAGAUGACAAUACAGAUGCACUAAGUGUAGAGUCACUUACACUGGUCCCACCGGUCGAUUCGCACAGUAUUCGUACGUUCAGCUGCAUUCCUCAGCCAUCUUUGCAGUCUGAGCUUGAAGUUUGCAAGGUAAAAGAGAUAGAAGACGAAUGUUCUGACUAAGUCUACCCACAGACUGUGAUAAACAGUGACGCAAAUUAACCAAAUUCUUCAUUGUAUUUUUUUUUCUUCGGGAGCACAAGAUACUUCCUGCAGCAUCAGAGACAUCUGGUCUGCAAGAAGAGGCCCGGCGAAGAAAGAAUGUGGGCAGCUUUUAGAAUAAGUAUCAGAUGUUUGGCAUAUUUAAACUAGGGGAAGAAAAGAAACUGGAUCGGACAUUUCCCUACGCAUUUCUGUUGUACAAGAGCACCUACUUUCUUCCCAUUAUCAAAUAAAGAUCCAGCUGCAGUAACCUUGUAGUCAAAGACCUACAGUGCUAAGGCAAAGCGAAGACAUUUUUGGAUACCUGGCUUCAAGAUGUUGAAUUGCUACUUCUUUGAAACUGGAGACACAUUGUUCACCAGGCAGAAGUGUAAAUUAUAGUACAGAGAUUCCAUUUCCAUUUGUUUCAUGUUUUUUAUUCUGAUCUCAUUCAGCUUUUGGAGGCCUCUAUGAUACCAGCAGGCUCGUCCCCUUUCUGUGUUGUGUUCACAGGACUCCAAAGUUCAGUGCUUUGUUUUCCAUGUGUAAUAUUUAUUUCAAAGUCUGAUUCAAAGCAAGAUGCAUCUAAAAAUAUUUUUUUCAUAAGUAAAACUCUGAAAAUAUGACAAUUGCUUAGUCAUAUGAUUGCAAGACAUUUUUGAAACAUUUGUAGUCUUUGCUUAACUAGCUACAAAGAUAAGAAAUAUUUUAAUAUCUACUGCUUGUUUGCUCAUUUCUGACAGUCAAAUUGCUACACCUCUGAGGAAUGAUAGUAUGAUGAUAUCCUUUCUACUGAAGAACAGCUAGAAGCAGACAGAGGCACUUUUAUUCUUAAGAGGUUUGGGGGGUUUUGUUAUUGGAGAUCUUGUUGGUUUCUUUGGAUUUUUAUUUUUUUUUUGUCUGUUUGUUUCUCAUCUUCGCAUGGGAAUAAUUCUAGUAAUUUCUUUGCAAGUCUGAAAAUGAAAGAGAAAGCUAUUGUUUUGGUUGUUGUUGUUUUUGUUUUUUUUUUCCUGUUUGAAAGUAUCACCAAAAGAAAUUACAGCAUAAAAGCAGUCGGGUUUGUUUGCCUUACUUUGCCUCAUAUAUCUUGAAUCUGAUUUGACAGUAAGCAGUGAAGAAAUGUGAAUUAAAGUUUGGAAUGCUCUUUGCUGAUUUUUAUACAUAAUUUACUGUGAAUGGUAAAUUUUUAAGCUUUCUGAUCAAUUUCCAUACAUAUUAAGCUAAGCUAGUAUAAAAGAACAGCAGUGUCAUUAUUGGUCUGCGUUUUACACUGAGUGCUGUCAAACAUUGAAGUCUACUGUAAACUUGCUGUUGUGAUUUCCAUCAUCAGUUCAAUCAGUUUCCUGGUUCUGCCUCUACUAACAUUGAUUUCUUAUUAAAUAGGUGAAUCUGAAAAGUUCUUGCCUACUUUCCCAUCUUAAGAUAUCUCUUCCUUGCUGUCAGGUGGAAUACUUGAUUUGUGUGUUACAUUUAUGAGAUUUAAUAAUCCACGAGUGUAUCUUGACUCACUUUUCAAUCUUUUCCUUCAUGUAAAACAUGUAUAUAAGAUGCCUGCUAUUGAAAAACAGCAUCUUUUUAAUUCCCUUAUUAGCUUUUGCAUGCACUUUUAUUGAUUUCUAGUUUUCUGUGGCUUCUAUUUUGUCUCAAAUUGAAUUACCAAAUAUUCCGACCAUUCCAGAAUGACACAAACUCUAAAAUGAAAUGAGAGAAUUAGGUGCUCUUAACACUGUUAUGGGUAUAUGAUGGUGAGAAUUUGGCCUUGCUGCUGGAGUAAGAGGCCGUGAUUUUUGGGUUUAGCUUUUUUCCAUGUGCUUAGGGUAAGUUUAUACUGCAGUCACAGAUGUGGCUAAUGUAUGUGUAUCUGAACAAGUAGCAAUUUGGGCAGAAGGACCACAUAAAUAAAUUCCUAUUAGCUGAAUUUCCUGCAGUCUAGACUUCCUCCACCAUGUUGCAGCAUUACACUGUAGCCCCAGUAAUAUUCUAAAGAUCAUUAUAAAAAAUGAUGCCUUAAUUGGAAAGCAUUUUAUGUUAGCUGUUAACCUUAACUCUUGACCUGGAUUACAGAAAAUGCCACUGUGCGGGCUGAGUUCCCCUAAGUAGUAUUAAUGCUAGACAGGAAAACUUGAUCUUUAUUUAUCUAAUUUAAAAUUCAGUUCUAGCAAGAUUAGGGCCAUUCACAGAGGGACUUUUAACAGCCAUGCAUAAUUUCACCUUUGAGCCACGCUGCACAAGAAAUGAUGAAAGAAAGGUGACUUUGUGUUUUUCAUUGCCUUGGAGUGGGUGUUCAAUCCCACGACCAGGUGUUUCCUGUGAAGGUCUCAGUAGGCAGCUGAGGUACUGUUAUGUGUAUACAGCUUGACUGCACUUCAUGCUGCAUUAUGAGUCUUCACAAUGUACAGGCUCUGGAGAUGCUGCCAUACGUCAUCUGGCAAUCUUAUCUCCAUGAGUUGUGUUGUUACUAAUCUACAAUUCCUCGAAGAGUAUCAUAUCUAUCUCUUAUCAGAAAAACUCAAAGGCUAUUUCCUUAUCCUCGUUUCACUGUAAAAAGGAAACUCGACCAAGAAAGCAUUAGCACAUCAGCCACAAAUACAUCUUCUAAAACAAAGGUUGAUGUGAGUCAGUGUAGCAUCACUCUGUUUAACCAAACACCAAGUUGCAAAUGAGAGCUGCAGCUGAACUACUGACCAUUCUUGCUCUUUCAGUGCAUUACUGCAGGCCAAAGGGGAGAAAAUGAGAAAAAUGCUGAUAUGUUGUGAGAUGGUAAAUGCUCAGUGUGUUUUGUAGAGGCUAUGCCUAUCUUGAGCCAUAUUCUGAUAACAUAAAACAGCUCUAAUAGUCUUUUCCUUUUGAGAAGAGACACCGAAAACACCAAGGCCUGCUGCAUGUUGCUUUGUGUUGUGAUCUGUGUCUCACUGUCUUGAAUUUUACCAGGAUACCAGUUGCUUAUUCUCACAGCCUCUUGCAGAUCCUUUUGCUGUUCUGUAGCACAGUGGCAGCAUGCAUGUGGUGAAGAAGAGAGUGGUCAGUUCCAGUGUCUGCCUUACUAGUGGGUGAUGCUUGUAGUAUAAACCUUUGUACCAUAAUUUUUUUCUUGCUGAAAUUCUUGGAUAUAGGAAGAAACCUAACAUUUACCUUUCUGCCCUGUUUUUCACAAGGUAUAUGGGUUAAAACAAAUUUACUAGAAAUACAGUCAUACAUAUUAAUAUUGGAGCCUGUAUUCUGUGUGUAGUCAUGAAUUGUGUUGUAAAGAGUGAGCUCAUUCUUCACAGCUAACUCAUAAAGUGAUUCUAUGAAUUCAUGAUGAACUAAAAUUCUGACUUCUGUUCCUUAAAUUGAGCUGACCUUAUAAAAUUAUACCUGUUAAAGAAACUCCUUAAUGUUCUUCACUUUACAGCACAGCUGCAAGUUUCUCUAAAGUCAUUUGUUGAGAAAAAAAAUCAGUAAUAUCUUCCAGAAUUGAUUUGCUCUUUUGAAAUAUUCUUGCUGAAGUAUGGACAUACGGCACUUUAAAACUCUUCUUCCUUCUCUAGAAUUUAGGACUCCACGUGAGUUGGUAAUCAGAGUUGAAGUCAAUGUCCAGUUAUUCACAGAAACCCUUUGUCCCAUAUUGACAGAAUACAGGGGGAAAUAAUGUUCUUCUGUGAUUUGAAGCGUUCUUCUGAGCAAAAUUUUAAAAAUCAAUGCUUAAAAUGGUCUAUAGCAGCAUCAGCAAUCAUUAGGCUUGAAGUUACUGUGACUUUUUUCUUAUUAAGCAGUAAGACAUGAGUAGCUGUAAUCGUCACCCUUACAGCAAGGAACCUCAGAUGCUUACUGAUUACAGAGCUCAGUAAUUGCUGAGGGUCGUUUUGCUAGCAGGAAUUGGGUUUCUUUUUCUCCUAAACUAAGUGAAACAUAAAAUUCUCUGCUUGAAGCCAUGGGGAAGGUGUAAGACAAGCAGGUUGAGCUUUUCGUGUAAGUGUGAAGUCACUUCGUCGAAGUGAACGCAAGACUUGAAUCGUGUGGUGCUGUUGGUGCUCUAGUUUAAUUGGUCACUCUUUUGCUGCACAGGUGUUAGAGGUAAACACAGAAUAGCCUAAUGAGCACUCUUGCAAAAGAAAAAGAAGUCGUGUUAAAUAUUCAGAUGCUGUCCUUGCUAUCCAGCUCAAGUCUUCACUAGGCAGGUAGAGCUAUAUGGAGAUUUCCUUGUAAAAGAACAUUGUGCUAACAGGUGUCACCUAGAAAACUUCACCUUACGGCCUUAGGAUUGAGUGAAAGAUUUAGAAAGAGGCAUGAAAUCAGGGCAUCAUGGAGAUCUGGGCAUUUUCCCUCAAAAGUGGUAACUCUCCUUAAUAAGGUUCCUACCCAUUUUCAGGCAUCCUGACCAUAGGCAUCUGAUAUGUUUGGGAAGUUCUGAAUUGUUGCUGUCACUCUUUGCUGACUGCAGGACAUCAUUCUCCUGGGCACUGCUCUUCCAUUAUCUCUGAGGUUUUGGACUGAUUUCCUGUGCUUGUGUGCUCUGGUGCUCUGAUCUUUCCUCACGUCUGCAUCAUGAAUUACAAACAUACGUAACGACUCUGUCUGCCUCCUGUCAGCUCCAGCAAAGCAGAUGGUGAUCUAAGCAAAGCCUGCUGGGGUAGAGCUGUCUAAGAAGAUGGGGAGGGGGGGAAUACUUGUGUUUUUUUCUGCUGUUCUGGAAUUUUUGAGCGGCAACAGAAAUGUGGGAGAUGAAGUUCCGGACUGAGUCUCAAACAGAAGGUUAUUUCAUAUGGAAAAAUAUUUUUAUAUUACAUUUGUACAAAAUUUUCCCUAUUUUGGUCUCCCCAAAUUUUUAAGGAUAUGCACAUUGCUCAAACUUGAUUUCUUUUGCAGGAUGUUUUAAAAUGUGUGUUAUGUUUGCUUAUGUAUUGCAAAUGUAAAGCUAAGUUUUGCAUGUCUAAUAAACAUGCACUGUGGCAGUAUGUGUUUUGUUUGGCUAACUUGAAGUCAUUGCUUCUUAAUGAAUAUGGAAGGGAACUUGAGUCGUUGUGACUGUCUCUUGAGCAUAAAUGAAUGUGUGGAGCGUGUUUAUUUAAAAAGGGCUUAACUAAGUAAUGACAAGGAAUACUUGCUGAUGACAAAGGUUAGAGUUAAAGCUUAGUUUAGUAUAUGGUGUUCUCAGGAUUUUUUUAACGUUGUGAUCUUAAAAUAAUCAAGAUUUUUUUGUCAUCUUUUGGCUAUGGACACUCAUACUGGUGUAAAAUGGGCUUAAGACGUGGUAACAGCAGUCUGAUACUUACAUCUCUGUGAGAUGAGAGUCUGAGUGUUUGUGUGGGAAUGUAUUUAAAUACUUGUGCCACAGUUAGUUCUUACAGUGAACGUAAGGAUAGUUUUUGAAGAGGACUGAGAAUAGCUUCAAGCUUCUACAUUUAUGGACUUUUAGAAUUUCUAGGAGCUUUGUUUUACCUGUGGUAGCACUGAAGAACAGAUGGUUACAUCUCUAGGGGACCUGCUGGGAGCAUUUUCAGCUUUUAGGGACUGGCUUUAGGCAUCUCCACUUGUGAAUGUGUGUUGGUGUUUAGUUGCAAACUUUUUGCUUCCUUUUGAGCUGUUUUGCAAGUUGGAUUGUUUCAGGUGCAAAGGGAAAUGUAUUUUUCUAGAAGAAUGAAUGUAUCUGGGCUUUGUAUACUAAAGCGUUUAAUGAACAUGAAAGUCUGUCCUCUGAAAUAUAUUUCAAAAAUGUCUGAAAUGUGCUUCGCUGAAAAAAAAAAAAAAAAAAAAAAUCCUGAAUGUGCACUUCUACAUUUAAAUGGAAAGAAGUCCAAACACAAGGUGAAUGGGAUUCCAAAAUGUCUUUUCUACAGGCAAUAAGUAUUAAUUAUUUAAUGUAAGUUAUGUUAGACAUUUGGAGUAUGAUGAUAUCUUAUGUUAAUUUAAAGAAAAAUGUAUAUAAGUGGGAGGGGACUGAUCUUAGAAAGUAUUGUUGUAUAUCUCUGAAAUCCAGAUUUCUAAGCUGAGUCUGUAUUUGCUGGCACUGAUCAUGUCCUGGCUAUUGAAAACCUGGACAAGAGUGAACAAUACACCUUUCUUUGUAAAUGGAACUUGGCAAUAAAGAUGGUGUUACUGAGAACCUUCUUCCCUUUCAUGUUCUGUUGCUAGAUUAGAUACACAAGGACGUCCAAUGGCAGUGAAAUGCACAACUUGCAGAAGUGUGCUCUUGUUAAGAAGAAUGGUGCAUGAGAGUUGGGCAUAUUAAUCUUCGAGCUGAAAACUGAAAUAGCCAAGCUGCUACGUGGAACU